GACGAACGCUGGCGGCGUGCUUAACACAUGCAAGUCGAACGGAAAGGCCCUGCUUUUGUGGGGUGCUCGAGUGGCGAACGGGUGAGUAACACGUGAGUACCUAACCUUGUCCUUGGGGUAAAUUACGGAAACUGGGGGUAAUACCGGACAGGAACCUCCGCUGCAUGGAGGGGGGUGGAAAGUUUCGGAGGUUGGGGAUGGACUCGCGGCUUAUCAGCUUGUUGGUGGGGUAGUUGCUUACCAACGCUUUGACGGGUAGCCGGCCUGAGAGGGUGACCGGCCACAUUGGGACUGAGGUACGGCCCAGACUCCUACGGGAGGCAGCAGUGGGGAAUAUUGCACAAUGGGCGGAAGCCUGAUGCAGCAACGCCGCGUGCGGGAUGACGGCCUUCGGGUUGUAAACCGCUUUCGCCUGUGACGAAGCGUGAGUGACGGUAAUGGGUAGAGAAGCACCGGCUAACUACGUG
rnacentral:rRNA from 1 species